AUUGAACGCUGGCGGCAGGCUUAACACAUGCAAGUCGAGCGGGGUGAUGGUGCUUGCACUAUCACUUAGCGGCGGACGGGUGAGUAAUGCUUAGGAAUCUGCCUAUUAGUGGGGGACAACAUCUCGAAAGGGAUGCUAAUACCGCAUACGUCCUACGGGAGAAAGCAGGGGAUCACUUGUGACCUUGCGCUAAUAGAUGAGCCUAAGUCGGAUUAGCUAGUUGGUGGGGUAAGGGCCUACCAAGGCGACGAUCUGUAGCGGGGCUGAGAGGAUGGUCCGCCACACUGGGACUGCGACACGGCCCAGACUCCUACGGGAGGCAGCAGUGGGGAAUAUUGGACAAUGGGGGGAACCCUGAUCCAGCCAUGCCGCGUGUGUGAAGAAGGCCUUAUGGUUGUAAAGCACUUUAAGCGAGGAGGAGGCUCUUUUGGUUAAUACCCAAGAUGAGUGGACGUUACUCGCAGAAUAAGCACCGGCUAACUCUGUGCCAGCCGCCGCAGUAA
rnacentral:rRNA from 1 species